rnacentral:rRNA from 1 species
UUCUCCGUAGGUGAACUUGCGGAGGGAUCAUUACACAAAUAUGAAGGCGGGCUGGAAUCUCUCGGGGUUACAGCCUUGCUGAAUUAUUCACCCUUGUCUUUUGCGUACUUCUUGUUUCCUUGGUGGGUUCGCCCACCACUAGGACAAACAUAAACCUUUUGUAAUUGCAAUCAGCGUCAGUAACAAAUUAAUAAUUACAACUUUCAACAACGGAUCUCUUGGUUCUGGCAUCGAUGAAGAACGCAGCGAAAUGCGAUAAGUAGUGUGAAUUGCAGAAUUCAGUGAAUCAUCGAAUCUUUGAACGCACAUUGCGCCCUUUGGUAUUCCAAAGGGCAUGCCUGUUCAAGCGUCAUUUGUACCCUCAAGCUUUGCUUGGUGUUGGGCGUCUUGUCUCUAGCUUUGCUGGAGACUCGCCUUAAAGUAAUUGGCAGCCGGCCUACUGGUUUCGGAGCGCAGCACAAGUCGCACUCUCUAUCAACAAAGGUCUAGCAUCCAUUAAGCCUUUUUUCAACUUUUGACCUCGGAUCAGGUAGGGAUACCCGCUGAACUUAANCAUAUCANUAAGCGGAGGAA